AUUGAACGCUGGCGGCAGGCCUAACACAUGCAAGUCGAGCGGAUGAAGGGAGCUUGCUCCUGGAUUCAGCGGCGGACGGGUGAGUAAUGCCUAGGAAUCUGCCUGGUAGUGGGGGAUAACGUCCGGAAACGGGCGCUAAUACCGCAUACGUCCUGAGGGAGAAAGUGGGGGAUCUUCGGACCUCACGCUAUCAGAUGAGCCUAGGUCGGAUUAGCUAGUUGGUGGGGUAAAGGCCUACCAAGGCGACGAUCCGUAACUGGUCUGAGAGGAUGAUCAGUCACACUGGAACUGAGACACGGUCCAGACUCCUACGGGAGGCAGCAGUGGGGAAUAUUGGACAAUGGGCGAAAGCCUGAUCCAGCCACGCCGCGUGUGUGAAGAAGGUCUUCGGAUUGUAAAGCACUUUAAGUUGGGAGGAAGGGCAGUAAGUUAAUACCUUGCUGUUUUGACUUUACCAACAGAAUAAGCACCGGCUAACUUCGUG
rnacentral:rRNA from 1 species